AGAUUUGUCAGCUCGGCGUCCUUCUUACGACAACCAUCAACUUGGGGAGGGCCCACCACUACACCCACUCCUCGGUGCUGUUCCCCCAAUCCCUUCUCCCCCGCACAUCUUGCUCGGCCGUCGUGGGUUGCAUCGCCGCCGCAGAAAUUGGAGCGCCCGCCGGCUGCCGCACAGGUCGCGGGUGGUGGUUGAGCGCGCGCGGGGCGGAGGCGCGAGAGGCUGCGGUGGUGCGCGCGGGGACUGCAGAAGAGAGGUGGAGUGGGUGAAGGUCGCCGCGGUGCUCUGUCUCCAAUCCGCCAAGGGGUGCGGGGUGAAGGUCGCCGGCGACGCUACAUUUCCGGCGAGGGGACUUGCCACGGAAUUUCUGAGCAUCAACAAUGUCUGAGACAAGCAAAAAAAAGUGACGGUCAGGUCGCACAAGCAACCCAACAGGGUGUAGAUGAAAUAGAGCGUAGGUACGCCCACCACAGCAACAAAACAUGCCGGUAAUUGUCUAUAAGUGUAUGCGCACUAAAGAGAUCAUCUAUCACGGGAAGCGCCCAUCAUACAUAGAUAGUAAUACCAGUGCACCAGAUGCAUUUAGAAGGCAAGGAUAUCAUGCAAGAGGAGGAAUCGAAGCCAAAACGGCGGAGGACAGGCAAAAACGAGUAGGAACUAAUGGAUGGAUCAAGCAAAAAGGGCAUUCAAGAAGAUCAUCAUGCAGUUAAUCGUGAUGCCGAUCCCUCGCAUGCGAUUGAAUAUCAUCAAGAGGGCUAGAGAAGCACACCCUUUAUUGGGUACCAGCAUCGGGGAAGAAAGAAGAUUGCUGCCCGUGGCAAAUGUCCGCUAGACAUCAACAACAAUCCGAGUGUUUCCACAGAUGGUGAUGGAAAUGUUGAGAAAGACACUGCUGUGGAACAACCACCAAAAGCAAAAUGUCAAAAGACCAGAUCUAACGAGGAUAAGAGAAACAAGGCAUCGUCUGCAAGGCUUUUCAAGCUGAAUAAACUUCUUGUACAUGUUCAACAAGGCCAAGCUCAAGUCACUUUCAGUCAAUUUCUGACACAGCCUUAUACAGAUCAUGGGGAAAGAGAAAGGGAGGCUUGUGUUCUUCAGUAAGCCAGGGGACAGGGAUGAAAGAAGCACACAACCAUGGGGGAAAGUGAAAGUUAAAUCUGACCUUUUUUUGUGCUUCUUCUACCCUUAGUCAAUAUGAAUUGCCUGGAGAACAAAUCCUAAACCAGCCACCAUUGGAGGAUUGUGGAGAGUUUUCUGGAUCUGGGAGUUGUUCCUUUGUGGCUUGGGAGAGAGAAGAAGAUGGGGCUGGGCGAUUUGGUGGGGAGAAAAGGAGACGCCCAGGGGGGGUGGAGGAGGGAAACACAUGGGGGAGGGAGGAUCAGGUGAGUUCCGCGGCUCGAUGGUUGGGUGCAAGGAAUCGGGAGCGGGGGCCAGGUACUUUCCUAUUCUGGAUAGGAGGGACAGAAAAUUACUAUUUUGGGAGGGCUGCUAGGGAACGCUAGGGAGCAGCCGGCUGCUCCCUCUAGUUCUCAACAGAAAUGCACAAGGGUCAAAGCGAAAACCGCACGCUCGAAAAAAUUGGAUCGCUCGAGGAGAUCAAGGAGGCGACUAGGGGUCCCUUGCGCGCCGCCGGUGACGCCACUGGUUCCCUCUCUCUCCGUCGGCCGCUCCGACGGCGGAAGGGAGGGGGAACCUCGGGUCUGUUCACUAGGUUGAUGUGUGGUAGGGUUAGGGUUGAGGGAGACGCUGCCGAGGCCGUUGCGGUGGUGUCGCGUCGGAAUAAGUUUCUCCGGGCUCCGUUCGUGGUCAGGCAAGGCUUUUGUCUUCGUUUAGGAGCCAACGGUGUUGGGGAUCCCCGGAUCUCGUUGAGGUCGCGGGCUAUGGUGGUUGGAGGUCCAUCGGCACUGUCCGUUUGAAUCCUCAGAUGGGCGAUGGAGGUAGGGAGACGAAGACCUUUCUUCUUCCUUGUUGGUACGAUUUGCCGCUGCUGUUCUUCUUCCUCUAUGCUGAUGCUGGUGGGAGAUCCUGCUUUGCCCGGGCGGAUGGCUCGGCCGCGGUGCUGGACCGAUCGGAUGACUCGAGUUCUCUUCCUUUUGGAAGGGACACUUUUCACGGUACUCAAAGCUAAAGAUGACGACGGCUGUUGCAGGUGUGUUGGAUUGACGUCCAUGCACUCUCAGCGCUGGUGUCAAAAAAGGAGGAAGCAGCGUGGCGGCAAUUGUACCGUGGUCGAAGAUGAUGACUUGUUUGCGACUGGUUGCAUAUCCUUCUGCUGCAGGGGUCUUCUCUCAAGAUUCAGGGAUGAUGACACAGGGCUCCGGAGAUCUUCUUGUGUUAUGGUUGUCUUAGGGUACUCUAGGUGUUCAUGGUCUUUUGUUUUUGCGUUUCAGUGUGCUUGUCAGAGUCACCUACUCUGUACUGAUUCGUGAUUUGAAUUAACAAUUUCUCAAAAAAAAAACAGGAAUGCACAAGAAAAAACAUGUCUUGUGCAAUAACAUAGUAGUACUACAUGCUUUGUUUGUUUGACACGG
rnacentral:rRNA from 1 species